rnacentral:lncRNA from 1 species
AGAGAUAUUAGUUGUACUUACUGGAGCUCCUUUGUUUUGCAGAGAUCAUGAUGCAGCCGUCCUUUUGGAUUUCUUUUUAAUAAUGUGUGACCCUUCACCUUUGAUCCCCUGACCUGCAUUACCUUGGUAACCAUUUCAUUUUUUAAUUUAAUUUCAUUUUUAAUUUUGGUGUACAAGCUGUAACAUUUCAUCUCUCAAAGUGUAGCACGCUGAUUUCCUCAGAUAGAGAUACCCCUUUGAGCGAUAAAUUUGCAAAAUGCUGUCUUCAUUUUUUGUAUUAAAAUUCAUUUCAGUUUUAUAAAAUAAAAUGUAAUCUGUGUUUUCAUCCUUUUAAAAUUUAAGUUUAGUGAGUGCAUUCCCCCAUACAGGAUAGUUCCUCUUCUACCAGUGUUUUGCGGAAGCUGAAUUAAGUGACAUUCAUAUGUAAUGCACACCCCCCUUACCCCCACUCCACUGCCACUCCCUGUCAUUCCCCUGCUGUCACCACACAGCCCUGCCAUUGCAGGAUGAUGACUUGUCUUCCCUUCAGAAUAGUAGCAACUUGAAUUUUAGUCUUAGCAGCCAGGUUCUGCACCCUCAGGUUAUAUUUUGUAUUCUCAAAUAUUGUGGGGAGGGAAAGCUUAGAGUUUUAUUUUUAAUUUCAUUUAAGGGCUGGAAGAAUGUAAGCUAUUUUCAUUACCAGUGUUUGCCUUUCCCACCUCCUUUAAUGUUUUAUUUCUUUGAGACCUAAAUUAAGGAAAAGUCACAGUUUUAAUUUGACCAAAAAAUGUGGUUUUGUCUAUGCUGAAAUUUUAUCAGUGAGCUCUGCUGGUCCCUAUAUCAGAUUGAUUUUUGCCAUUUGUUCUUAUUUCAUGUUUGCUUUUCAAAUAAUGUAUUUUUAUUGUACUCUUCUUCUUUUCAGAAAAUUCUUAAAAGCAAAACAAACCAAAACCAAAAGUCAAACUUGAGUUAAUUCUUUGAACUGGCAAAAUACUCCAAGAAAUUGUAUUCUUAAAAAAAAAAAAAAAGCUGCGGACUCUCUUGCAUGGCCCAGUGAAGCACAGAUGAUUUUUUAAGUGUCUCAUUAUUUUAUUCUCUAACAUUUAAUGCUGAUGUUUUAAUUGCACACAGCUGAAGCUGCUAAAUGAGUACUGAAAUAGAUUUAAGUCCUCUCUGAGCUUUGUUGAUACCUAUAAAAGUUUAUAUCAUUCAUUAGAACCACAAAUUAAAAUUAGUUGUGGUGAGCUGUUCAUUGGAGAUUGGAACUCUCACGAACAUUUUAGCUCACAGACUUUGUUUUUGCCUGUUACACCUAUUUACCUGGAAAGCUGCUUUCGCCCUGUUGGGUAUCCUUUCUUUUCACAGAAUUGGAAAAAUAUCAGAGUUGAGGAAUACAAAUAGACAACUCAUCCUAUGAUUGUAAAGCCCCCAUGAUUAUAAGUGUUCCAGUGGUUGAGAGCAGCUUCCUUGCUGAACCUUGAAUUUUAAGGUGAUUUUUUUAUUAUAAUGUGUUCCACUGUUGUGCAGAGAAAUUUUCCAGAUCCAGAAACUUUUUUUUUUUGGCCUUAGGUACGUUGUUUAUUUGUUCUUUUGUUUAUUUGUUCUUCUAGCACCAAAGGGAUGGUGCCUGAAUCACAGUUCAUAGACUCACAGGGCUUUAGGGGACAGUGACUGCUUGUCAGCUCCACUCCUCUUCCUGAGGGAUGAGCUGGCCCAUGGUUCCCUGGGGAGUCACAAGUUCUCUGAUGACAGAGUCAGCUCUCUCUGUGGGCCCCCAUCUACUUGAGAGAGCCAGAUAACUUUAUUUAUAGCCUGUAGUAGGAGAUGAAGAGACAUUAAUAGGUGCAGAAAUAAUUUCUAUUGUCAUGUUUUAUUUUGUGAUUAAAUCAGUUAAAAAUUUUAAGGUUUUCUGAUUAAUACAUUUUAAGAGAACCUAAUUUUUCUAAGAGAGCUAGUACACAAAUACACUUAUUAUUUUCAAUGAACAUUAGUUAUAUGGUUAGUAUUUAGGACUUCUGGUAAGUUGUGAGGCACAUGAAUACUGUUUUUGUAAUCAUGAUUCACUGAGAAAACCCUUGUCUGAGAGUCAGAAAACUUGCUUUGGACUAGCAUCAAGGUCUUUGGACAUGUUACUGGUGUCUUUUGAGGUAGUUACCCCCAAACUAAAAUAUUCGAAGACAAAGAACUUGACACUUUAAUUUGGGAAUGAAUACUGUGAAAUCAGUUGUCUUGAUUGACCACAUAGGAGCUUGUAAAACAUUUCGUUGAUGCUGCUUCCAUUUUAUGUGUAUGUGAAAUGUAGACUGUGUGUCUCCUACUUGCCUUUUAGGGUUGUUGGGAGGAUAAAUGAAACACACACUGGGAACUCAGAAGAAAGGUGCUUUUGAAACUGAACCUCAUCCUAUGGCUGUGCCAAGAGGCAGUGGUAGUGAACCCCGUGGUGAAGGGCCAGGACCAUGGCUCUGGAGCCAGGCUGCCGUGGUUUGAAUCCCACCUUGGCCUCUUGCAAGCGGUCUGACUGCAGCACAUUACCUAACCUCCCUGUGCCUGAGUUUCCUCCUCUUUAACUUGAGGAUGAUAAUAGUAGCACCUACUCAAAGGAUCCUGGUGAGUUUUAGCUGAGCUGAUGUGUGCGGAAUCCUUAGAGCUGCGCUGGCGUGUAGCGAGCGAGGCCACACCUGCACACCAUGGGCAGGACAUAUACCUUGCACAAAAUGACAUUGCAGCCCCCCCAUCCCCCUGCCCACCAUUAGUCUUCUAACAUUGAUUUAGAAACCAUUGAAUGCUUAGAGAGGGGUACUGCAUAGUUGGUGAUAUUUAAGCACCUCUAGAUAGAAGUUCAGUGGGUAAAGUUAAAUUUGGCUUCCUAACCUUUUUGUAAAAAAAUUCAGCUCACUAGGAUCUGCCUGACACUCUGACUGUUCUUUUGUUUUAGCUGUUUUGGGUUAUGGAGGCAUAAGGGGAGAGGUGUGAGGGAGGGAGCUGCCUUUUGCCUAGUUAGCUUUCGUACCUCCACUCUGCUAAGUUGUCUAGCUGGCUUUCAAGGAGUUAGAGGGUUGAACUGUUGAGGGGCUUUUACUUGACCGUAUGAGGCUUUGGACUCCUCUUAAGUAGAUCGAAGGAUGGGACCCACAGUUGUCCCUGCAUGAGAGAGAAUAUAUGUUGCAUUGUUCCCAGUGCUUUCCAUACAUUUUAAUCAUCCAGAUUUAUCCAGGAGGUGAAUGGUGUGUUAACCCAGUUUUGCAUCUGAAAAUGCUGAGGUUUAGGUAGGGUAAAUACACUUUCCUAGGUGCACAUCCCUAGUAGACUGCACAGUUGCAGAACUGGCAUUUAAAUCCAGGUGCUGCUUACCUCCUGAUACUUGCUGCCUUGCAUUCACCUGCAAACCUGGUAGAACCUCUUAACAAGAGACUGUUCUGCUGUUUUCGUUGCAAGGACCUGAACUGCAUAUAUUAGUGUCCCUCAGCCAUUGGACCUUUUAAAUGAACAGCACCUCUAACUUAGUAAGAACUCAUAUGAUGGAGUAGCUGGCUCUAACAAUCUAUUACCACCAUUAUCAGGAAAGUUCCAUUAUAUAUGUGGCACUUGAUCCUGGUUGCACAUCUGGAAUCACUCGUGUAGUGUUUUGUUUAAAAUUUGAAGCACUAGUCCCAUCCGUGACUGAUUGUGGUCUAGCAGAGAACCAUUGAUCAACAGGUUCAGAUAUAUAGAAAGGUUUUUUUUUUUUUUUUGCCUAGUUACAUACAAACAAAAAUUGAUUUUCUGUACACGCACAGAUUUGUGCUUCUAGAAUAUGGACCAGUGCAAUUAGUUCUAUAGUUGGCUACAUUGUAGAUUAAAAUGGAUCUCUAGUUUAAUCAUUUAACCAACACUGAUCAGUACCCUUCCUGAAGGCAAGGUCCCAGCAUCUAUUCCCUAAAUGCAGUCGUGUGUGAGAACCCCGAACGUCCUGAGAGGUGGGCUCUCACUUAGUUACAGGGUGAACCAAGUAGAGGGCCCUGUUUGCUUUCUUCUCCCUUUCACCUGUCUUCUUUCUCUUUUAUGCAUCCAUUUUUCCUUUCUCUUCUCCUUCCCUUCUCCAUAGUUCUGUCCUCCCUCUUUUUCUCUUUCUUACAUUUAUCUGAUUUUGACAGUGUGACAAUCAUCAAGCUGUAAAGUACUUGAACUACUUCAUGUGCACAGCACAUAGUAGGUGUUCAAAUGAACUUUUUCUUAUUUUUCUUAGCAUCUGAUUUUCAAAGGAGUAGGCACUACCCCUCAUUAAGCCUGAACUUUGUUAGAUUUUGUUUGUGAUUGUCUAUCCUAACUUGGUUUAUCUUGUGAAUUUAGAUAGUUUAGUCUCACUGGUUCUGAUAAGUUGAGGAACUCCAGGGUUUAGUCACUGAGUAGUACAGAAGCUUAGGGAAUAGAACAGACUUAGAUUGUUUUAGAGGCUGCUUUUAUCAGGCUUCUAAUGUAUUUGCUUCUAGUAUAUUUUUAAGCCAGAGGAUCUGUGUUUGCCUCGUCAGACCCCCUUUGUUUGGUGAUGAGGAAGCUGCCAUGGAGAGGGAAAGGCCGUUGGACUUGCUGCUGCUACCUCCUCUGGUAGCAUUGUGUGUUGGGACAGAGAGCAGAGCAAACAAUAUGACAGCCUAGAGGUCUGCAGCUGACUGUUUGCCUCCAGAAAUGUUGGAGAAGUAGUCACAGUAAUCCUCCUUCUGCUUCCCCCUUUCACAGGAGAGGUGACCUAAGGGUGGGGCGAUUCUGAGGGGAGUGGCAGGCCUCCCCAGCGUGGAAGUCGGGAGGCUGUGUGUGCGGCCCUGCACCCCAGCAGGUUGGCCCAGGCGCCAGCUGGCUGCCUUAGGAGUUCCUUCUGAUGGCCUUUAGCCCUUCGAGGCUUUUCGGAGGCUGAGAAACGCGCGGUAAAGGUAUGGAAAGGUGUUUUUGUCAUUCUUCAGUGAAAAUCUGCCCUAACCAGAAAGGGAGUUUCUGCCUAGGCAGGAAACCAUUGAAAAAGCUCGUUUGUGUUAGUUGUGGUUAUUGUUUCCCCUGGAAACUGUGGCCGUGGUUACUGUGGUACUGUGUGACAAUCUGAGUGUUUAGACUAGAUUUCCUGUUUUCCACACACAUUUAUAAGUGGGUUCAGAAAUGUGCCUGUGAUGAACAUCACACAUACCUACUACAAAACUUGGAUGGUCAGCUUGGUGUGGUUUUGUGCACCUCUAAGCCCAGUGGCUCAGAAGGCUGAGGCAGGAAGAUUGCAAGUUUAAAGUCAGCCUCAGCAACUUAGGGAGACCCUGAGCACCUAAGUGAGUCCCUUUCUUAAAAUGUAAAGAGGGCUAGGGAUGUGGUGCUGUGUUUAAAUGCCCUGGGUUCAGUCCCCUGUACCCAAAACAAAAACAAACAAACAAAACACAACGGGUUUGACCUCCAGUCCUUUUUUCUCUUUGGUGCUGAUCCUUUUUCUUAUUUCUGCAUUUUUCCAAAGGAGAAACUAUAUGAUCUAACUUUUUGUGAUGGUGAGAGGAGGAUUGGUCUGGAGCGUUGAAGCUCUUGGUCAAGGUGUGGCUCUGGGUUUCCUUUUACCAGCUCUAGUUCACCUUACAUGCCUGGCACAAGUUCUUGUACAUAAUAGACACUCAGCAAACAUUAACUCUCUUUUCAUUUCUCAUUAGCACAGGUAAUUAAGAAUAGGAGCUGAUAGACUCCACAUAUCUGUGCAGAGAUAUAUCUGUAAUUAAAGUUUUAAUUAAAGAGACACCAGACCAGGCAGAUGGUUCUUAUCCUCAUAUCCUGUAAACCAAACAGCCGUGGCUUUUCGAUCUUGCAAACAAGCAAAGCUGAGAAGCUGCUUUCAUGGUGGGGCAUGGUAGUUUUAUUAACUAGCCAUGAUCUAUUUUGGUACUACUCUGUGUGAUGCCUGAUCCAGGGAUAAUCAUUGUAGUUUGAUAUGGAAAGACAAUACAUCAAAGUUAUGUCCCAACUGAAGCUUUCAAGCGUCAUCAAGGGCAUUGCCACAGCCCAGCUGGUGCAUCACAAGGCAUGUGGUUUUGUGCUAGAUCACAAAAGCUGACAAAGUAUUAUUUAGGAUCAUCCGCUAAAUACAGUAUUAAAUUAAAGCACCAUAAUCCUGAUUUUUCAGGUUUUGCCACUGUAUAGCAAUGCAGAAUUGAGUUGUGCCUGUUUGCCUCAUGCUGGUUCUCUUCUAUGUCACAGUGACCUUAUUGGCUAAUCAGGCGCAGAAUUUAAGAAAUAAAACAACUGCAGGGGCUAACUAACAGAAAAGGACUUAUCUCAGAUCUUAUCACUUUUUAGGCCCUUCCAGUGAACCCCAGCCAUUUAUUCUAUUGCAUCCCUGUUGGCAGGAGCCAGAGCAGUGCAGGGAAGUGGGCAGCUCACCUUGACCUCUUGGAUUUUACCCUCUUCUUUACCCGAAGUUUCAUAACCUUUCCUUGUAAUUUUUAAUGCAGCUAGCUGCAUGGUUUUCAGGCCUUCCAUGCAAGAGGCAGUUCUAUAACAGAAUUGCAUGCUGGUUGAUGUAGGUGUGUUUCUACCACCAGCAUCCCAGUUUAUUUUGUUAGGUAGAACCAGUACUGAAGAUGUUGAUUUCUUAUUGCACAAUGGAACAGUUUAGUGUAGAGAUUAGGAGCAUGGUUUCUGCUUUGCUGAACAGUGCUGCUUUCAUAGGAGGUGCAGUUUUUGUGUGAUAGAGUCCACAGUACACUGGGAAGUACACUGGAACUUUCACAUCACAGACCAGUCAUCAAGUGAUAGAACCUAGAAGUGUUUUAACUUACCUUAAUACCAUCUAUAAAUCAAGGUCCAUCUGUCCUAGCUGAAAUGUGUGUGCAUAGGCACAAGGAGAUGGGCCAGAACCAUGAGAUGUGCAUGUGCUUUGAGUGGAGCCUGUGUCUCAUGGGUAGCUGGAAAUGUGUCUACCACCUUCUGUCUCAGGGAAGGAUGUUUUUUGGUUUUAAAAGAGGUCAGUUCAUUGUAAGCUGCUUUGAUUAAAUAGUCUUUUGUUAUUGUAUCCAGAAAAUACCAUAGGAUCUAUGCAGAAAUGUAUUACUGAGUAUUAAGUUGGUAUUUUACAUAUGGAAUUUGAACCUGACCAAUUACAAAGUUUGUUUCUUUUCUAAUGUGGUUCAAGACCUGAACAUGUAACUUUGGAGUAGACAACACAAUUUUAGAUUGUAGGAGGUUUCCUAUGAAGUUAAACUCUUGCUGCAUAGAGAGCAGUAGUUAUGCCGCUUUGCUGUGUAGGAAUCAGACUUCCACAAAGAGGAGAAGCACCAACAAACCCACCUUACUUUUCUUUCUGUAGUGGGUUUAGAAAAAAUGUGCACCCCCACCCCAUGCUGGGGAUUGAACCCAGGCCUUUACCAUGUUGGGCAAAUACUGUGCUACAGAGCUACAUCCAUAGCCCUGGAAAAUCUGUAUUUUACCACAUAAUCGUCACCACUGCAUUAAUGCAGAUUCACUAAUACUCCAUGCAUAUCCUAAUCUUGAACCAGUGACAGUUUAGUAAUAAACGCAUUUUAAGUAAUACUGGCACAGUAUUUUUUUUUCUCUUUUAAAGCUUUAAAUAAUGGUCACGCUCAACUUUUUGCCAAAAAAGAAAAAGAAAUAAAAGGCAUAAAAUCUGCAAUGAUUAUGUGAUGAAAUGCAUAUAUUUUUGCCCUUUCUAGUUGUGUGAUGAUGGGAGUAGAGUGUUCUGCCCACUCCAGAGUGACUUACCACCAAAUAUUUCUUUCUUUCUUUUUUUUUUUUUAAUGGCGGUACUGGGGAUUGAACUCAGGGCCUCACACAGCUAGGCAAGUGCUCUGCCACUGAGAUAUGUCCCAAGCCCUUUUUCAUUUUUUUAAAAAUUUUUAAUUUUAAAUGUUGUUUUAUUAAUACAUUCGAGUUAUUCAUAAUAGUGGGGUUCAUUUUGACGUAUUCACACAUGCAUAUAACAUAAUUUGCUCCAUUUCAAUCCCUAGUAUUUUCCCCUAACCCUCGUCUCCUCCUUCCCCUUGAUUUCCUUCCUCUACUCUGUUGGUCUUUCUUCCAUUAAUUUAUUGUUUUUUUUUAAUUGGUGCAUUAUAGAUAUACAUAAAAGUAGAGUGGAAUUUUUGUGAUGUAUUUAUAAUGCACAUAACAUAUUUGAUCUUUUUUUUUUUUGCUGUUCCUCUCCUUUCCCAUCCCUACUUUUGCCCCUUUAUUCCCCUUUCUUUACUGUUCUGUUUUUAUAUCGCCCACUUCCCCACCCCCCUCUUGUUUUUAAAUUUCUCAUUUCUCCCUAAUUUCUGCAUAUGAGAAAACAUUGAAUCUUGAUUUUUUGAGUCUGUCUUAUUUCACGUAGCAUAAUGUUCUCCAGUUCCAUCCAUUUGUAAGUAAAUGACAUAAUUUCGUUCUUCUUUAUGGCUGAGUAACAUUCCAUUGCGCAUAUACACUACAUUUAAAAUUGUUGAUGGACCUUUAUUUUAUCUAUUUAUUUAUAUAUGGUGCUCAGAAUUGAACCCAGUCCCUCACACAUGCUAGGCAAGUGGUCUACCACUGAGCCACAACCCCAGACCCCUAUACGUCACAUUUUCUUGAUCCAUUUAUCUGUUGUUAGGCACCUGGACUGGGUUCAUUACUUGCUUAAUUUGGAUCAUGGUGCUAAAGACAACACCCAGCCCUUUAAAAAAUUUUUUUUUUAAAAACAGUUUCAAUGAGUUGCCUAUGCUGGCCUCUUAACUGGCCAUCAUCCUGUCUCGGAUUACAGGCAUGUCCAGCCACACCCAGCUUAUUUAUUUGUUCUUUAAAUAGUUAUUGAAUUCCUGGUAAAGGGCAGCAGUAAGCAAAAUUAUGCCAUUCCCCUCGAAAAGUUUAUUUUCUGGUUAGGGGAAAGGGCAAUAAACAAAAAAAGAGUAACAGUAAUUGAGAAUUUGUAUGAACCAGUCAUGUUGGUUAACUCUGUGUCCUCCUCAGAGCACUCUGUGCAGGUGAGUGCUGUUCUGCCCCUUUUGCAGCCUAGGGAGACACUACAGAGAUGUGGACUGGCCUCUGCCCCACCCAGUGGGCUCUGUGCUUUCACAUUCCAGGCUGCUUGACUCUCUAUUAAUAAACACUGCCUGAUCUGCUAAUUUCUAAAUAAUAAACACAUAUUAUUGUUAAUGAAUGUGAUGAAGAGCACACUCAUUAUCAAUAAUAUGUGUUUAUUGAUAAUAAUAAUAAUAAUAUCAAUAAAAGCCGCAAGGGAAGCCAUUUGGAGGGCUCCUGGAUGCCUGGGUGUAAGUGUUCGUUAGCAUCAUGACUUAAGUGGAUUCCCUCAUAAUGGGGGGUGAAGGAAGGUCACAUCAUGAGCCACAUAGCUAUCCAUCCAGAGGGAGGGUAUUCCAAGUCAAGGGAACAGAAAAAGCAAAGGCCCCAAGGUUGAUGUAGCUUUGUCAAAGGUGGAAGAGAAGCCAGGAAGCCAGGUGGGAACUGUCCCUGUCUCUAGGAGGGUGGGGAGGGGAGCAGCCAGGAGCAGCAUCCCUGGGGGCCUUGCAGGUCAGGGUAAGGCCUUUGAUUUUACUGAAGAGAGGGGAAAUGGUCCAAGAAUUUUUGAGCAGAAAAAAACAUGAUAAAAAGGAUCCCUCUGAAUGUAGGGCAGAGUCUAGGGCACGGUCCACAGACAACUGCCCGCUGGCCAGAUUGCUGCCCGCUUCGGUGUAGCCAGCAAGCUAAGAGUGCUGUGUACAUUUGUGAAUGGUUGGGAAAAAAUGAAUAAUAAUAUUUGGUGUCCCAGGAAAAGUAUGUGAAACUCAAAUUUUUGUGUCCAUUUUCAUUUUAGUGUUAUUGGAAUUGAGCCGCCCUUGUUACUUUGUGUAUGUCCAAAGCUGCCUUUGAGCAGCCUUAGCUGAACUGAGUCCUUUUAACAGACCACAUGGCCUGCCUCUGGCCCUUUUCAGAAAAAGUUACUGUUCCCUGUCUUGGGGGGAUGGAGUGGAAACAGAGGAGACCAGAGUAGACAUGGCAGAAGUGAAUGGUGGUCUGAACAGGCAGUAAGAAGUGAACAGAUGCAGGACCUGUUUCACAGCAAAAGCAGAUGUACUUUGUUCACAUGGGAAGAUUCCGGGUGAUGUGUGAGUGCGGCACUGAGUUACUGGAGAGUGCACUUGCCCUUUUGGGGGUUGGGAAGACUGUGGGAGUGACAGGUUGGGGAGGAGGGUGAGCAAGAGGCCAGAGUUGUAUUUUGGAUAUGUUGGCUUUAUGGUGCCAAGUGGAGGUGUUGGGUGUCAGUCACUUGUGAGUCCAACUCUGAGGAGAGGCUGAGGCUCAAAGUAAGUAUUGGAGUGUUUUCACAUAUUGCAGGAAGGCUUCCAAGCUGUGGGAGGGUGGAAAUCCUGUAGGGAGCACACUUGGAGGGCAAGUCCAAACCUGGAACCCUGGGGUGCCCAGCAUUAAGGGUAAGGAAGCAGACAAUGAGAGGGAGCAGCCAGAGAGCGCACUUGAGCAGAUUGGGGUGUCCUGGAAGCACAGUAUGGUUCUCUGUGUCGCAUGCUGCUCAAGGUCAAGCAAGAUGCCAACUAAAGAUUCACCAUGAAUUUGGCAGUGUGGAAGUCACUCGUGGCUCUGAUAAGAGGUGCCUGAGUGACGUGGUGAGACAGGAACCUGAAACCAGCUGGGUUAAUGAAAAUGGGAGGACAGGCAGUAGAGCUGGUGUGUAGGAGACUGUCUCCUAAAGCCUGAUUGCAGGCCAGGAAGGGGCAAGAGUGGGAUUUAACCUGAGAUUAGGAUUUUGCUAGUUGAGGUCAGUGGAGGAAAGGGUGUGAGGGAACUGAGUAGGAGAGUCCAUAUGACAGUGGAGAGUCCAUAUGACAGUGGAUUGUGUAAUUGAUGCCAGGCAAGGAGCAGGAUGCAGGGAGGAGAUGAGGGACAGCAGGAGGUUGUGGGGGUCAGCAGAUUCAAGGAGUUGUUGGAUUUGGGGUGGUCAAGAGUCGUGUGCUUGAAAUUGUCAUCGUGGAGGGUGCAGUUGUGGUUACAUCUAGAUCUAAGGCAGUAUUGUUCAAAAGCAAUGUCAGGGGAGCCAUGUUUAACUUUCCAUGUUCCAAUAGCCGUAUUUUUAAAAAAGUAAGGAGAAAGAAACACGAUAAAUUUUAAUAUUUCAUUAUAUUUAACCGGUUACAUCUCAAAUAUGUGAACAUGUGAACUGUGUACAAAUUAUUGCAAUGUAUCAAUUUUUUUGUAAGUCUUUGCAAUUGGUGUGUAUUUUAUAUUUCUAGCACACCUUACUUUAGACUGGGCACAUUUCAGGUGCUCAGAGGUCACAAGUGGCUCAUGGCUGCCAUAUUGCAGAGCAUAGGUCUUGGGAAUCACUGUGGAGGAAGUACAGUCCAAGGUUAUUGGAGGGUGGGUUUAAGGAACAGAGAAGCCAAGGUUCAUGAAGGAUUAUGUGGAUCUAAGCCACUUGGGAUUCCUUACAGAGUGGGGCCGCAGGGGUUAGGAGGCUGAGUGCUUUAAUCUGCCACCCAUCAAGUGAGUCUCAGCAUCUGUGGGACUAUGAGGGACUGCUCUUGCCUCAUCUUAAGUCCAGAAAUCAUGGGUAUGGGGCAUGCUUUCAGACUCACAAUAAAAUAUCAGAAACAUGGGCUAUAAUAUUGAGAGGAUCUUUUCAAAAUAGCAGCUUCCAGUCAGGGUUCACUCUCAUUCAGAAGGCAUUUCUUUGAGCCACUAAUGAAGAUGUUACCCAUGUGAAGAACUCAUUCCAGCCCAUUUUUUUUUUCCUCAAGAAAAAAAUAUCCGUUAGAUUUUUGUCUUUUAUUUUGACAUAAAUCUUUAGAUGCUGAUCUUUAUUUUGGCAUAAUCCUCAAAUCCCUCAAAUUCUGUUUGUAAUACUUAGCUCAACAAUCUUAAACACGCUUGAAUCCCUGCAGAAGCCGACAUUUAGGAGUUUCAAGGCAGUCCACAUGAUACGCGGACAGCAGCAUGCAGCCUGGCUACCCUCUCUGCUCCUUUUGAUAGGGUACAUGUGGUAAUAUAUUUUAUAUAUACAUGCAUAUCUGUUUGUGUGUGUGUGUGUGUGUGUGUGUGUGUGUAUAAAUAUUGGCUUUGAUCCACAGUGAGUCUUUAAAGAUCAAUAAAAAUGGAUGAUGUCAGGAAGCUGUUUUUGGCCUUAUAGGCCAGGAAAAAGGAAAAUGUUUUGAAGGGGUAGACAGGAACACUUCCACAGCUCAGUUGCUAUCACUACUUUUCAUAUUUAAAGUUAACACAAGCUGCUCGUCUGAAUCCCAAUGGAAAAGGUGAAUGGAUAUUCCAGUUCUGUACCUUUAUCAAAUUCAGAUGUACCUUAGAUUCCUUUCAGUUUGUUUCCUGUAGUAUUAGGAUUAACAGCAGCAACAACAAAAAUCCUCCCAGCUCAGAUAUUUAGGAAGAAGAACCCAUUUUGAAUCUGUGUUUAUGUGCCCCCUGUUCUCAGAUGCUAUGUGUGUUGAAGGAGCAGUUGUUCAUUUUGUAGGUGCCAGUGUCAGGGAAUGAGGGAUCCAAGUGGUCCCAAGCACCUAGGCUUUGGUAAUCUCAGAGCAGUGUGAGAGUCUGCUGGGUCAGAACUGUCUUCCCUCUGGGUGUGGUGCCUCCUCUCUGCACUGUAGUGUUCCCUGAGAGCAAGCCCAGGAAACGCCACUUAGUAACGAGGAAAGCUUUCUCCUUAUGUGAGUUUUCUAAUUAAAAUGUUUUCCAUCUGAUGGGGAAGUGUGUGAAUAUCAAGAACUGGAAAUUAAGCAAGAAAUUAAAAGAACAUUAAUGGUUUCUUUGCAAUUUGUUUUGAGGUUUUCCUCACUAAGUGGUAUUUUGCUUACAAAGUCACCCUUUCACACAUAAAUCUUUAUGACAAAUGGACUGGAAUAUAUCCCAGCAAAAGAAGAGCUAUGGUGUCAUGUGUAAAUUAUAUCACACAUUGUGAAAGAGAACCCAAAGCAUUCACUUUUUAAAAAAGCAUUGUUAGUGCAGUUACUUAAUUGGUGUAUACAAAAUUAUAGUUUAUUUGAAAGUGAAGGUUGGUUUGUCUAGAGGACUGGAAGAAUAAGUGUUCUGACAUUUGUUCAUUGUUUGAAUUUACACUCCAGACACCAGAAUGCUCAAUAAAUCCAAAGUGUGAUUUACUGACUCUUUAAAAAGUUCACUGCUGAAACUUUAUCCAUCGCAACCAGUGUCCCUUCACCCCGAGGUAUGUUUGAUCUGCAGUAGGCAGGCACCUGCCCUUCCUGGUCCUUGGGCCUCAGGGAGUGCAUCGAAUGCCACACUGGCAGUUUUGUUUGUUUUGUUAUCUGGAUUUGUGUCUACUAGUAAAGUCUUCAUUAAGCUGCAGCUUCUACCUCUGGGUGGAGAAGUAGGUGGAAACAGGGAACUGUCAAACUCUGUAGCCCUUCCCGGCCUACCUCAAAGUGCCCCCACCCACAGCCUCUCACCUGCCUCUUCUCUCUCCUAGACCUCAGGGUACUGCAUGUUCUGUCUGCUGUGCUUUCAGUUUCCUUCUCUGGCCCAGCCCUUCCUCCCUACUUCCGUUUAUUCUGGUGGACAGCCUUUAGGGGCCAGCCCAGAUGCCACUUCUUCAUGCACCCUUUCUUGGGCUCCAUUCUGCAUAGUCCAUCCUUUGGUUCAUUCUUCUCCUUCCCAUAUCCCCUGUGAGGACUGUCGCCAUGAAAAUGUCAUGAUCUCUUUAUUGGUGUCUUUAAUCUACUAAAUCAGGAGCUCUUUGGGAGCAGGUGCUGGGCCUCCCUUAGAUUUCUGUUUCCCUAGAACCCAGCCCAGCACCUGCACAUGGUUGUGAGUGAAUGAAUUCGGGUGGAUGGGUGGGGGAGUGAUGGUGGGGUAAUGUACCUUCAAGUCAAAAAGGUAAACUUGAUUCCUGUUUUGGAGAAAGAGAAGAAUAAAUACUGUUUUUGUUUAUACAGGUCUUAAAAUUUUGGUAGCAGAGAGCAAAUGUGCAGAGAGCAAUGGAAAACAAGUCAGAAGCUGCUGUCUGAUUCCAGAGAAGGUCACAUUUUAUGCAAAAAGAAAAAAAGUAAUUUACAUUUGAUCACCUUGAGAUCUUCAAUUUGUCAUUGUGAUAUCUUAAGUAACUAAUGAUUAAGUGAAAUAAAUCUUGGGAAAAUAGAUCACAAAUGGAAUGAGGACUUUGCAUUGUAAGAAACCCACAACUCUUUUCUUUUCACAACAUGACCUUUUUAAAAAGUACCUUAUUGCAGGCUUGUGAAGGUGGCUGGCCUCUGAGCACUGGGCACAUGCCUGAAAGUGAUAGGCCUUUUUUAUUUACCUUGAUCCGCUGGAAUUAAACAGUCAUGCUUAUAUUCAGUUAGUUUGAGGUUUGGUUGGAAUUCAGUUCCAAAUUGGCGAAAGAAAUGAGCAUCCAGCCCCUCUUCCUCAUAUUGUCCAACUUGCCUUAUGAGACUCAUAUGCACAGUAUUCCCUGUUUAAACUGAAGUCACUCACUUGACUCUGUCCCUGCAGUAGUCCCUAAGGAAGGUAAACGAACAGAUAUCUUGAGACUUCCUUCUGCAUCAGUAGUUUUGAUAGUUUCAAGGCCACUGUGGAAUUCACCUGUAGUCUGUUAGGACCUUACCUUACUUAGGAACAUUAGUCCUUUUACUCACACACCCUCCAGUAUCCCUUUGGAAUGCUGUGUUUUUCUAACCCAUGAAACUGGUCUAGAAAGUACAGUAGCAAGUGCUGAGAAUUGAAGUCCACCUUCCUAGUGCUGUGCUUCACAAAUAGUCUCUAGCUGGGGGCCUCUCAGAGCAUGGUGUUCUGUUAUAUCAAUAUGUACUUAGACAUGCUAAUCUGAAUUAGAGAGCCGAUAUACAUAAUGACUCCCCUGGGAUGCUAUAUUAGAAAAAAAACAAAACAAAAACUGAAGUAGUUUGCUGAAUAUGCAUAGGAAGCUAAAAAAUAAAAUCCUUCUAAAAUGAGCGUUAAUUGAAUCUGGACCUUGAUCAUCUUUGAACCUCUAAUUUUUAAUUUGAUCCUUUAAAAAAGUUUUAUAGGUUCUUGAAGACAAAAUCUACAACUCAAUAAAAGUUAUGCUGUAGUGAUUGCCUAAAGACUGUACAAAGCCCAAUUUUGAGGUAUUGUUGCUCCAUGUAUACACAGCAUGUGUGGGGUAGAUGUAUAUAUAUGUACAUGUUCAUGCAUACACAUACCAACUAUAUGUGCUUAAUCUAUGCUGUAGUUUGCCUUUAUUCAGAUUCCCUCUAGAAAUGGGGCAAAUUUUCUUCAGUUAAAAACAGAAAUAGAAGCGCCGGCCUUGACCCAUUUUAUACCUGUUUAUUUCAGGCUCUCACCACACACUUGUUCAUGGGCACAGCAAGAAGAGGGAUCCACAGAGCUGGAGCCGUGAGGUCUGACACAUUGGGGUGAAGCUGGCAAAAUUCGUAGGGAGAGCUUUACCAUCCUGCCAGCUCCAUAUCUGGCCUCAAGACAGUUCUAUUAGUGAAUUAAUUGUACUCAAAACCUCGAAUUCAUUUGAACCGAAUGUUACUAAAAAUGAAAUAGAUCAAAGUGACCUCCUCUUGCCUCAUCCAGAGUGAUUGUGAAGGAGCCCAUGGCCUCAUUUAUCUCUGGAGAGCAGGUCUCCACCUGUGUGCCUCCUGGUCCUGGGGUUUUUCGUGCCCGUCCCUGAUGCUACUCUGCCCGCAGUCCCUCAGCAGGCUUCCAUUUCUUACUGGCACUUCACUCCCCUGGAAUCUCUUUAUGUUGAUUACUGUUUGUCUCCCACAAGAAUGGAAGCUCCAUGAGAGCAGGGUCUCUGUCUUGUUCCAUGUCCCAGUGCAUAGGACAGUGCCUGGCACAGUAGAGUUUCAAUAAACGCUAUUGAAUGAA